UUGUUUAAUGUUUUAUCCUCCAUACAGUGUAAGCAGGUACGGUCGACAAAUAUUAAUAUAUAUAAAUAGUUCCCAGUGAAGUUCUUGAUAUGAGCUUUUCGUUUGGAACUUCUGAAGAAUCAAAACCAGCAUCAGCAGCUGUCGGACAUCAACCUCGUAGGCGACGAUUGACGGAUGGCUAAAAGGUAAACUAGCUCCCGAACCAUCGGUGGGGUAUUGUCUCAGCUCUGCGAAUCGCUGAUCCUAGACAUUAUCGAAAGUUACCAGCUACGGAAUCGAUUAAUCCACCAGAAACUGUCGCAGUUUUACCAGCUACGGAAUCAAUUAAUCCGCCAGCAACCGUCGCAGUUCUACAAUUCCGAGCUCCACGGAUGUCCCAAGAAUAUUACAGAUUCCCACACGACAGGCCCAAUUGCCCAACAGUAAACCAGUGGUCUUUUAACGAAUAAGAAAAACAGGGUGUGCGUGUGCAAACAUUUACGGCACCUAAGACGAAUGGAACCAAGACCGAUGAAAUCGCGCGGUCCGGUCUGGAAGAUCCAACCGGACGUAAAAAAUCAUUCCCGGAUAACGUGAAGAUCUUUUCGAUGUUGGAUACAAUUUGAUUGCGGCCUAGUCUUGUUGUUCCCGGAAGUGGCCGACAAGAAGAACAGACGGCGCACAGCUCAAGACAGAGGAGAAAUGAAACGUGAGCCAGGUAGGCUGUUAUUGCUUUUUGAACCAAAAGCUGCUAUUCAAUGCUGCUGUUUCAAUAACAUCCGGAUCACAGAUUUGUCAACGGAUUGGUCUCGGUGCGGUCAGUCGCAACUGUUCCAUUUCCAUCAAUCUUUCCACCAUCUACAGUACCCUCAGCCAAGUCACCAGUUCCGGAAUUGCCUGCCAUCAAAAGUUCACCCAGUUGUGAUCCUGGGCUUGCUACAAUUGAUGUUUCAUCCACCUCACAGAUUAGAAGCUGAUAGGAAUGGAAUUGCUUCUAUCAGUUCUGACAUUGGGUGCCAUGAAUGAUGUUCCCUCGCUGCUAGUAAUGCAGCAAUAGUCAGGCAUCCGACAAUAUAAAGGCUGUAUACCUCCUGGCUGUCCUCGGUGGCAACGCCAGCCCAUCGAGUGCCGACAUCGAGAAGAUCCUGAGCUCGGUUGGUAUCGAGGCCGAUUCAACUCACGUCACCAAGGUGGUCAACGAGCUGAAGGGCAAGUCGGUGGAGGAACUGAUGGCCUCCGGUCGCGAGAAGCUCUUGUCGAUACCAGCUGGUAGAGCCGCUCCAGCUGACGAUGCUUGUGCUCCUGCCGUUGGUGCUGCUGCCGCUCCUGCUGAAAAUUAGAAGGAAGAGUCGGAAUCGGAGGACGACUUUCGGUCGUCGGGGGCUUCGGUCUUUUUUAAUAAGAAGGGAUUCAACCACAUCAUUGGAAUGUGACGAUGACCAUUCGUACGAAAGGUAAAAAUAUUUAUUUCUGUGAAUUAAAUAACCAAAAAAUUGUGACGUCUGAUUCCAAACUCUCAAACAUACAUAUUAUGAAGCUUUACUAGUGCAGCGGAAUCGACAUAGUUUCGCCCAUGAGACCGCGCAUGGCCGAUCAAUUCCCAUUUGGCAGCUUCUAGCACUCCUCAAGAAUAGGCAAACAUUGGUGCUUCAUCCGAUAAAAAGCAAAAUAACAAAACCGUUCAUCAUCCUACAACCACUUGCAAUGGUGCAUACAAUGACGGCACUUCGGACGGCACGCAACAUAUCAAUGGAACUUGCGAAAUUCCCGAAAUUCCCAUGGCCGAGUGACAAAGUAGUGCGGUAUACCGUGUGUUAAUAAAAGCUUCAACCGAACACACAUCGACAACAUCCGGACAACUAUGUACAGAAAAACAACUUUCCUACGUUCAUUUCAAUUUGUAUGUUUCCUGGUCUUGCCGAUCCGGAACUGUCAUCUAUAGGAAAUGGCCAUGACGGAGGCCGGGAAAAGUCCGGGAGUCGUUCAGCAUAGAGAGGGCAUGGGCACAAAUGGGAUCCUGUUAUUAUUUUUCGUUCUAAGAGCUAUUUUGAUAUGCUGCUGAAAUAACGAUCGGAUCGCAGAUUUUUAUUUGAAAGAUCUUUGUACCAGCCGAGAGUUUUUCUUCAAACGGCCAUACCGUCAGAAACCCUAUUGCAGUUCCGGUCGAGGUUCCGGUAUGGCAUGCCGUCAUGCCGAGAUUUUUAAUCUGCUUGAGUUGUCGGACCUCAAGGACCACAUUGUGGACGCACGACGGAAAUACACGAUGACAUUUAUUCAAUAUGAAUCAUUGAUUAUAUUUACGGAGAUACAUUUGCAUAACUUGGUGAAUCGCAUUGCUGCCCACACUACCGUAAUGUGUAAUAAAUUACCGUAAUGAUUACGAAUACAUACCUAUUUUAAGAUCACUUCAAAA